GACGAACGCUGGCGGCGUGCUUAACAUAUGCAAGUCGAACGGUGAACGAGGGAGCUUGCUCCCUCCGGAUCAGUGGCGAACGGGUGAGUAACACGUGAGCAAUCUGCCCCGAACUCUGGGAUAAGCGUUGGAAACGACGUCUAAUACCGGAUACGACGCGGGAGGGCAUCCUCUCCGCGUGGAAAGAACUUCGGUUCGGGAUGAGCUCGCGGCCUAUCAGCUUGUUGGUGAGGUAACGGCUCACCAAGGCGACGACGGGUAGCCGGCCUGAGAGGGUGACCGGCCACACUGGGACUGAGACACGGCCCAGACUCCUACGGGAGGCAGCAGUGGGGAAUAUUGCACAAUGGGCGCAAGCCUGAUGCAGCAACGCCGCGUGAGGGACGACGGCCUUCGGGUUGUAAACCUCUUUUAGCAGGGAAGAAGCGAAAGUGACGGUACCUGCAGAAAAAGCACCGGCUAACUACGUG
rnacentral:rRNA from 1 species